rnacentral:lncRNA from 1 species
AAGUAACUGCGUUAUGAAUCCAGAGGGGAGGUUCGCAAAACGUCCCAUUUGGUUUGUGGAUUGAUUUGUUAUUGCGCACUGUCAACAUGGCAAGUUAACAGUCCCAGUGUUGACCAAUCAUUAUUCGAUCAAAGAGGUAAGAAUGUCGUUACCAAGAGCUCCAGUUUCCCGUACAACCCAAGUGCGUGUUCUGGGCAAACUGCUGAAGGGUCCUCCAUGUGUGACUGAUGAAUGGGAGUAUGCUGUGGCUGAUAUAUGGAUAAGUAAGCUCAAAGACCUGCUGAAUGACCAUCAGAAAACAGGGAAAUGUCCUUCCAUGACAAGCUCAUUCAAUGACACAGAAAAUAUUUUUGUGGGAGAAUCUGUCUGGAAGGUGCUGGUGUCAUGGUAUGGCCUAGGGAGGAUUACAACCUGCACAGACGACCAUGUUCCUCCAAGUACACGCAUUCCUGGGCAGGGAGACUCAUACAUUCUGGCAGACAAACACCUUGACUUCAUUCAUAUGACAGUCUGUCUCCUGGACCACAUUGACUGCGUGAACAAACAGCAUUUCAUACAGGUCUUCUUCUGGGAGGAUGUCAAUUUUUCUGGAACUGCUGCUGUGCAGAUCUAUUGGGGUUUCAAUGGAACAUGGUCAUCGGAUAUGGGUCUCUGUCAAGAUAGAUGAAAAUGAAGUGUUUUUGGGACUUUGGAUUCACAAGAAAUAAUUACAGCUGGAAGUUUUGGUGCAUUCCUGACUUUGAAGGUACCAGGUUUGCUUGACAAACUAAUAAAGAGACAUGGACUUCCUCCUCCCUACUGCAAGUCAAGCAUCUUUGGACUCUUUCUCCUCUGCCAAAGGACACCUGUCUGAGGUUCUGCAAAGACUUCGGGAUCAGUGUCAUGUUAUGUCUCUGGAGGAGACAGGGGGAAACAGCCUUACCCUCUGCAUCAUAGGAUCUCAUGUCUGUCUGGCAUCAGUCCUAAUCUUGUGGUAGCUCAUCAACAACAUAACUGUUCACGGGUACUGGAUGAAACCUUGAAUACAUUUGAGAAGGAGGAGGUACAGUUUCUGGUAAAGACAAAAGCGAGAUGAUGUGUUCCAAGAUGUUGAGAAACUCAUCAAGGACAAAAGAGUGCAGCUGCAGAGCAACUGGAGCAAGAUGUAGGAAAGCAAAGGCUGAGCUUGGUGUGCAAGAGAAGAGGUUUAGAGAACGUGAAAAAGACUUGGAUGAGCGGGAACAUGACCUUAAUGUGAAAGUAGACAAGUUCAAGCGAGGCUUGACGGAUUAUUUGAUGCAGAGGAAGAAGCUGGAAGAAGAGUUGAAAAGAAUUGAAGAACAGAAUAGAUUCACAGACACCAAAGUGGAGUUGAAUGUUGGAGGAUCGAAGUAUACAACAUCAACAGUUACGCUUAACCAAAGAACCAGAUUCAUUAUUAGCACUGAUGUUCAGUGGGCGACAUCAUGUCCAGAAAGAUGGUGAGGGCUCCUACUUUAUUGACCGAGAUGGGACCAAUUUUAGAGUCAUAUCUUGAACUAUUUGCAUUGAUGGUACAAGGUCAUUAAGACAGUCUCAGGAAUCAGACUGCAUUACUCCAAGAGAUACUGGUUGAGGCAGACUUCUUUAGACUGUCAGGAUUAUCUCAAGCCAUCAACACCAUGAGGUCAAGCCAGACAUCAGGCACAUGUUCCAGUAUGCCAACACAAUACUGACAACCCUAUCCUUUUCAAGCAGGGAACACAGGCCUUGGAAACAGCUGUUUCUAGACAAGCAGAAAGCCUAAAAAACUUCCUAGACAUGCAGAAAUCCAUAAAGAUGUUUUGAGAUGUGCACUAAGCCUUAGAAAAGCUGUUUGUAGACAUGCAAAAAGGAAAGUGACACAACUCAUUCAGUUGUAAUAUAGGACUGUAUUCAUGGGCUUUUAGAGUUUCAUAUUCACCACUGCUAAAUAUACAUUCUAAUGUUUAACACUUAAUUAGCAUUACAGUACAAUCCAAGGUGGAAAACAAUCAUUUUUGUUCAAAUUUGUUUCCGCAUUAAAACUUGGAUUUGACUUGAAAUUAUUUAGUCUUGAUUGGAGAGCUUGAUAUAUAAUAGGUUGAAUAUCUUGAAACUCAAGUUAUGUACUGAGAAGUGGCAGGUAUGCAUCCCAUGCAGAUUGAUGUAUAAUAUCCAGUCAUUAGAAAUAAGUUGGCAGUGAGGUCCUUGUGCUUUCUUCUAUUGUACAUCUACAUAUUUUAUGUAUAGAGAGUAUUAGAAAAUUGUGUGUGUCAUACAGCUUCUAUGAAACAAGUAUCUGAAGUCUUGUAUAUCCUGAGCUUGAGAGCAAUGUAUCAGGUCUUACAUACAGUAUUUUGUAAGAUCAGUACUCAGAAGAGUGUGAUAAUUUCAUUAUUACACAUUAUUUACACAUUCUUGAGAUCACCUUCAGGAAAAUGCAUUGAUCAUAAUCACAGUCUUAGAAAAUCACAUUUGUCAAAUGACGCCAAAAAAUCUUCAAUUACCCAGGUGUAUGACAUAUUUUCUACCAUGAAGUCAUUCUGACUUAUGUCUCAGUAAGAUCAAAAUGUCAAUACUGCUGUCAAGAUGAUGUAAAUAACAAUCUGGAGCUGAUAUUUGCACUUGAGCUCUUAUGGUUUUCCUGAACUUCAUUAAUAUAUUACAUAAUGACCCGGUGACAUAUUUUUCCUGUGUAAAUACUGGCAAAUAUUAGAGCGGCAGUAUAUGUUGUAUGUGAUGUUCUUCCAGACAUCCAUGACCACACAUAAAUCUUUUGUAGGUGGUCAUCUUUAAAUACCCAACCAAAUCACAUGUAUAAUGUCUCUACAGGUGAGAAAGAGAUCCCUAUAUCACUUGGCAAUGCUUGCUGUGAAAUGGCUAGUGUUUGUGAGGAUCUGUUGAAUACACAUGUUGUCAAAAUGUAAUGAUUCUGUCAAAUAAGUACAUUAUCAUUAAAAAUGUGGCUCUUCGUAGCCUUGUGGGUGAAACUUUUCGCUUGUUGCACCGAGGACCUUGUUUCAAUUACCUUCAAUGAUACUAUGUUUGAAGUCAUUGCUAAUACAUUGCUGAAAGAACAUUGGUCAUGUUCUUUUCUGAAUACAUACUGAUAUAUCUGUAUGAUGUUAUAUUGAUACAGAAUGAUUUGUUUCCAUAUCAACAUGAUGAAAGUUUGUUGUUGAGUAAUGAAGCUCUGUCUUCCAUUACUUUGUUGGUAGUGGACUCUCUCCUCUGUGGCUCCAGGGGAGAAGUGAUAGACAAGCACAGUCAAUUGUUUAUUUUAUGUCUUUAAUAUGACUCUUUGUGUUUUAUGAGUAAAAUAAAAUCAUCAAAACCAU